ACGCUCGACACCUACUGGAGGCAGCAGUGAGGAAUAUUGGUCAAUGGGCGCAGGCCUGAACCAGCCAAGUAGCGUGAAGGAUGACUGCCCUAUGGGUUGUAAACUUCUUUUAUAUGGGAAUAAAGUUUUCCACGUGUGGAAUUUUGUAUGUACCAUAUGAAUAAGGAUCGGCUAACUCCGUGCCAACAGCCGGCCGGUAAGUACUGAGCGGGCGUGGCGAAGGACG
rnacentral:rRNA from 1 species